rnacentral:rRNA from 1 species
AUUUUCGGCAAUGGGGGGAACCCUGACCGAGCGACGCCGCGUGAAGGAAGAAGUAUUUCGGUAUGUAAACUUCUAUCAGCAGGGAAGAAAAUGACGGUACCUGAGUAAGAAGCACCGGCUAAAUACGUGCCAGCAGCCGCGGUAAUACGUAUGGUGCAAGCGUUAUCCGGAUUUACUGGGUGUAAAGGGAGCGUAGACGGAUAGGCAAGUCUGGAGUGAAAACCCAGGGCUCAACCCUGGGACUGCUUUGGAAACUGCAGAUCUGGAGUGCCGGAGAGGUAAGCGGAAUUCCUAGUGUAGCGGUGAAAUGCGUAGAUAUUAGGAGGAACACCAGUGGCGAAGGCGGCUUACUGGACGGUGACUGACGUUGAGGCUCGAAAGCGUGGGGAGCAAACA